CCUACGGGUGGCAGCAGUGGGGAAUAUUGCGCAAUGGGCGAAAGCCUGACGCAGCGACGCCGCGUGAGGGAUGAAGGUCUUCGGAUCGUAAACCUCUGUCAGCAGGGAAGAACGGUCACUGUGCUAAUCAGCAGUGAAUUGACGGUACCUGAAGAAGAAGCCCCGGCUAACUACGUGCCAGCAGCCGCGGUAAUACGUAGGGGGCAAGCGUUAUCCGGAUGUACUGGGUGUAAAGGGGGCGCAGACGGCGAUGCAAGCCAGGAGUGAAAGCCCGGGGCCCAACCCCGGGACUGCUCUUGGAACUGCGUGGCUGGAGUGCAGGAGGGGCAGGCGGAAUUCCUGGUGUAGCGGUGAAAUGCGUAGAUAUCAGGAGGAACACCGGUGGCGAAGGCGGCCUGCUGGACUGCAACUGACGUUGAGGCCCGAAAGCGUGGGGAGCAAACAGGAUUAGAUACCCUAGUAGUC
rnacentral:rRNA from 1 species